CGCGGAGUAGAGCAGUGGUAGCUCGUCAGGCUCAUAACCUGAAGGUCGUUGGUUCGAUCCCAGCCUCCGCAA
rnacentral:tRNA from 1 species